rnacentral:rRNA from 1 species
UACGUAGGGGGCAAGCGUUGUCCGGAUUUAUUGGGCGUAAAGAGCGUGUAGGCGGUUCGGUAGGUCCGUUGUGAAAACUCGAGCUCAACCUCGAGACGCCGAUGGAAACCCCCGAACUAGAGUCCGGAAGAGGAGAGUGGAAUUCCCGGUGUAGCGGUGAAAUGCGCAGAUAUCGGGAAGAACACCCGUGGCUAAGGCGGCUCUCUAGUACGGUACUGACGCUGAGACGCGAAAGCGUGGGGAGCGAACGGG